rnacentral:rRNA from 1 species
GACGGACGGUGCAAGCGUUGCUCGGAAUCACUGGGCGUAAAGGGUGCGUAGGCGGCCGUGCAAGUCUGGCGUGAAAGCCCCGGGCUCAGCCCGGGAAAUGCGCUCGAAACUGCGCGGCUCGAGUGCCGGAGGGGAGAGUGGAAUUCCUGGUGUAGCGGUGAAAUGCGUAGAUAUCGGGAGGAACACCUGUGGCGAAAGCGGCGCACUGGAGCAUAACUGACGCUGAGGCGCGAAAGCUAGGGGAGCAAACAGG